rnacentral:rRNA from 1 species
GAUGAACGCUGGCGGCGCGCCUAACACAUGCAAGUCGAACGAUUAAAGCACCUUCGGGUGUGUAUAAAGUGGCGAACGGCUGAGUAACACGUGGGCAACCUGCCCCUUUCAUUGGGAUAGCCACGGGAAACCGUGGAUAAUACCGAAUACUUCGAGACUUCCGCAUGGAAGACUCGAGAAAGCUCCGGCGGAGAGGGAUGGGCCCGCGGCCUGUUAGCUUGUUGGUGGGGUAACGGCCUACCAAGGCAAUGAUGGGUAGCUGGGUUGAGAGACCGACCAGCCAGAUUGGGACUGAGACACGGCCCAGACUCCUACGGGAGGCAGCAGUGGGAAAUCUUGCACAAUGGGCGAAAGCCUGAUGCAGCGACGCCGCGUGCGGGAUGAAGGCCUUCGGGUUGUAAACCGCUUUCAGCAGGGACGAGGCGAAAGUGACGGUACCUGCAGAAGAAGCCCCGGCUAACUACGUG